rnacentral:rRNA from 1 species
AACGAACGCUGGCGGCAUGCCUAACACAUGCAAGUCGUACGAGACCUUCGGGUCUAGUGGCGCACGGGUGCGUAACGCGUGGGAACCUGCCCUUAGGUUCGGAAUAACUCCCCGAAAGGGGUGCUAAUACCGGAUAAUGUCUUCGGACCAAAGAUUUAUCGCCUUUGGAUGGGCCCGCGUUGGAUUAGCUAGUUGGUAGGGUAAAAGCCUGCCAAGGCGACGAUCCAUAGCUGGUCUGAGAGGAUGAUCAGCCACACUGGGACUGAGACACGGCCCAGACUCCUACGGGAGGCAGCAGUGGGGAAUAUUGGACAAUGGGCGAAAGCCUGAUCCAGCAAUGCCGCGUGAGUGAUGAAGGCCUUAGGGUUGUAAAGCUCUUUUACCCGGGAUGAUAAUGACAGUACCGGGAGAAUAAGCUCCGGCUAACUCCGUG